GAAAUGCGAUAAGUUCUGUGAAUUGCUGAAUUCAGUGAAUCAUCGAAACUUUGAACGCACAUUGCGCCCGCAUGUAUUCUGGCGGGCUUGCCUGUUCGAGCGUCAUUUCAACCAUCAAGCCCCCGGGCCUGUGUUGGGGACCUGCGGCCGCCGCAGGCCCCGAAAAGCAGUGGCGGGCUCGCUGUCACCCCGAGCGUAGUAGUAAUCACCUCGCCCAGGGCGUGCUGUGGGCGCCGGCCGCUAAAAACCAACAUACCCCCCAAAGGUUGACCUCGGAUCAGGUAGGAAUACCCGCUUAACUUAA
rnacentral:misc_RNA from 1 species